AUGGGGCUUGGGCUCAGCUGGGUUUUCCUUGUUACUAUUUUAAGAGGUGUCCAGGGUGAGGUGCAGCUGGUGGAGUCUGGGGGAGCUGUGGUGAAGCCUGGGGGGUCUCUGAGACUCUCCUGUGCAGCCUCUGGAUUCACCUUCAGUAGCUAUGCAAUGAGCUGGGUCCGCCAGGCUCCAGGGAAGGGGCUGGAGUGGGUCUCAUACAUUAGUAGUAGUGGUGGAAGCACAUACUAUGCAGACUCUGUGAAGGGCCGAUUCACCAUCUCCAGAGACAACGCCAAGAACACGCUGUAUCUGCAAAUGAACAGCCUGAAAUCUGAGGACUCGGCCGUGUAUUUCUGUGCGAAAGACACACAAUUUAUGACUACUGGGGCCAGGGAAACC